rnacentral:rRNA from 1 species
CCUACGGGAGGCAGCAGUCGGGAAUUUUGGGCAAUGGGCGAAAGCCUGACCCAGCAACGCCGCGUGAAGGAUGAAGUAUUUCGGUAUGUAAACUUCGAAAGAAUGGGAAGAAUCAAUGACGGUACCAUUUAUAAGGUCCGGCUAACUACGUGCCAGCAGCCGCGGUAAU